UACGUAGGGUGCGAGCGUUAAUCGGAAUUACUGGGCGUAAAGCGUGCGCAGGCGGUUCGCCAAGUCAGGUGUGAAAUCCCGGGGCUCAACCUCGGAACUGCCCUUGAUACAGCAAAUCUUGAGUCCGGAAGAGGUGAGUGGAAUUCCUAGUGUAGAGGUGAAAUUCGUAGAUAUUAGGAAGAACACCAGUGGCGAAGGCGGCUCACUGGUCCGGAACUGACGCUGAGGUGCGAAAGCGUGGGGAGCAAACAGG
rnacentral:rRNA from 1 species